CCACGGGUGAGUAACACGUAUCCAACCUGCCGUCUACUCUUGGACAGCCUCUGAAAGGAAGAUUAAUACAAGAUGGCAUCAUGAGUCCGCAUGUUCACAUGAUUAAAGGUAUUUUCCGGUAGACGAUGGGGAUGCGUUCCAUUAGAUAGUAGGCGGGGUAACGGCCCACCUAGUCAACGAUGGAUAGGGGUUCUGAGAGGAAGGUCCCCCACAUUGGAACUGAGACACGGUCCAA
rnacentral:rRNA from 1 species